GAAAUAAGUGCUGUGGUUGUGGCUUGGGUCCUGGUCAGAUUUUCUUUUUUUAGUCUUUAGGUGGAUCACAUGUCUGAUCAAUAACAUUGAUUCUAUCAGUCAACAGCUUAUAUACUCACAUAAAUAAUAAUAAUAAAAAAACUACUAUAGAUUACAAAUACAAUUAAGCGAUAACAAUCCAUAAAUGACUGCAUAUCUGUCAGUCACAGGUGACUUUAAAUAAGUGAAUACAAAUAAAUCUGUAACCUGAUGCGGGGUUGCCAACUUUAACUCAUUUGCCAUAAAACAAAUGAUUUCAGCCAGCACACGCUACCCAACUACAUCUCACGGCAAAUAACAAGAAAAUACUAAAUAAAUGGAAUCAUUUAGAUUAAAAUAUCCAAUUUCAUGCAUUAUAAAAUCAUAACUGUAAAGGGAUCUUAAUAAAGAAUUCUUUACAUUAGGCCCUAAAUGAUCAAUCAGCACGGCUCCAGUUCAUCAGUUAACAUCUUGUGAAGUGAAAAUGUGUAUGCAAGAAAUAUAUUCAUCAUUGAGGUAUUUUAACUUGGUUCUGGCUAGUCCAUAAUCCAUAAAAACGAUCCCUCAAACCCCAAGAAUUAGGCCACGGAUCUUUAGUGCUCAUGUGUGCCUGAAGCUACUCUCUAUAUACAGAUGACUGUCUUUAAUCAGUCUGGUAAGGGUUUGUAUUUAUAUUAUUAUAUUUAUUAGUAUGGUUAUAUUUAUAGGCUAUUUGGUAAUUUGGGGGUCUUUGAGACAUCCGCGAGCACACUGACGUCAAAUAUAUUACACAGAUUCACAGCGGCCACUUUUUAUACAAAAACUGUAUUGCCCCCCCCCCCCCCGGCCCUGUUUUUAUUUUCUCAAACGUGUUGUUUGCUGCCUCAUGAGUUUCGUUUCGUUUGUCUUAACAACCAGCUGACCUGAAGGUUGAUAGCUUAGUUUCAUUCAGCUCACAGUUCUCGUUGCCGUUUGGAGGAACAGACUGUCAAAGCAAUGGACUUGUACGACGAAUAUGACAUUUAUACAGCUGGUGAUGAAAUGCCUCAACCUUCAGCACCACUGGAUAUCGCUGGAUUUAAAAUCAAAGUGGACUGGACAGAACCAUUUCCAGAGAGAUGGAGAGCAAGAUUACAGAAAGCCCUUCAGAGCUGGUUGUCCAGACUGGAAAGAACAGCAUCAGUCCACAGCGUUAAACUCAUGGACGACCCAUCGUGUGCGGAGGUGCAGAUAACACCAUCAACAGGUGAGAAAAUGUCAUAUAUACAAUACAUUUUUGUCAUCAUCUCAUGGAUGCUAGUAUCUGAAAUAGCUAAAAUACAUACAAUAUUUGUACAUAUUAAUACAGAAGGGAAAAUACCACUGUUGGGGGUAUGGUAACAAACAGAAGAGAAGAUUUAUUUUAAAAAUAAUGAGUAAAGUAAAGUGGAGUGGCACGCUUUGAUCCAGUAUGUUUUAUUUUGCUUUAUUUGAGUAUAAAAUGUGAUUAAAAGGUCACUAUUUCCAUCUGUCAUACAAAGAAACAACGGUUUGAUUUAUGGGUCCCCUUGCAUAUGUAGUUUACAGGGAUUCUCCAUAGGUGUAAUGGUUUUUAUACUGUACAGACAGGAUUUUCUAUCCCCUUAACCUUAACCCUACACCUGAAGCUAAACCUCAAACAAAACUACAGCCAAUUUUGAGUUUCAAAAAACACUGUUUAGGCUGUUUUUUUUUAAAGCCUUUUGGUUUACAGGGACACAUGAUGUGUCCUCAUAAACCA
ensembl:lncRNA